CUGGAUGUUGAGAGGGGAAUAGGUUGCCCGCUGAAAAGGCACUGUGAGUUGGUUCCUUAUUGACGGUUCAAGGUUUGCUACUAAAAGAGAUGACAAGCUCUUACGGUUUUCACGGUAAUGUGUUUUAUACAGUUUAAUAAACGCAACAGUUUUAUAACAUCUGUCGUCGAGCCAUCAUUUGAUAGAGAUAGCUACAGUAAGAGCUUACGCUUCAUCGAGCCCCCUGCCACUGCCAAGACGAUCGAGUGAGGAAAACGGGACAGAGCUCCAUCCCCUGCACGGACCAGACGGAUGCAAGAGACUUCUCGACCUGACGCUACAGGUUCUGCAGUCAGCGGGAAGCACUACGACACACGGGCAGAAUGUUGAGGGACUCGAUGGAUGGUCAAACACGGCUAGCACCAACAGUUUGAACGAACACAGCAUACCAAAGCUAACAGGUAGGAGUGGAUGCUACAUAUACACAAACUGCUAAGGCAGUGGUUCUCAACCGGGGGUACGUGAAGCCAGUCCAGGGGGUCAUUUAACGUAACGGAAAGUCAUUGAAACUUGAAGUCAGAAGUUUCACACCGUUCACAUUAUAAAGUUUCACCCUCGGUAUCCAAGGCUGAGUAUGGCUAGAGGACUGUGAUGCUACAGAUGAGCACAGACCACAGCUGCUGUCUACGCAUAGUACACAACAACGCACCGAAGAAUACAUGAAUAGUCACGCCCUUCUCACUAGCAAUUAA
ensembl:lncRNA